GACGAACGCUGGCGGCGGGCUUAACACAUGCAAGUCGAACGGAAAGGCACUGCUUUUGUGGGGUGCUCGAGUGGCGAACGGGGGCGUAACACGUGAGUAACCUGCCCUUGACUUUGGGAUAGCUUCAGGAAAGUAAGGCUAAUACCAUAUAGGAGACCCUGCACCGUGGUAGGGGGUGGAACGUUUCUGCGGGCGGGGAUGGACGCGCGGCUGAUGGAUUUGUUAGUUGGGGAGUUGCUGACCAAGGAUUUGGCGGGUAGGCGGCCUGAGAGGGUGAACGGCCACCUUGGUCCUGCGGUACGGCCCAGUCUCCUAUGUGAGGCAGCAGGGGGGAAUAUUGUACAAUCGGCCGAAGCCUGAUGAGGCAACGUCCCGUGCGGGAUGACGGCCUUCGGGUUGUAAACAGCUUUCGCCUGUGACGAAGCGUGAGUGACGGUACUGGGUAAAGAAGCACCGGCUAACUACGUG
rnacentral:rRNA from 1 species